rnacentral:rRNA from 1 species
AUUGAACGCUGGCGGCAGGCCUAACACAUGCAAGUCGAGCGCGCGGCGGACGGGUGAGUAAUAUAUGUGGAACUGCCCGAUAGAGGGGGAUAACUACUGGAGACGCUAGCUAAUACCGCAUACUCUCGGAUGAACCCAUAUGGGAUUAGCUAGUGGGUGGGGUAAUGGCUCACCUAGGCGACGAUCCCUAGCUGGUCUGAGAGGAUGACCAGCCACACUGGAACGGAGACACGGCCCAGACUCCUACGGGAGGCAGCAGUGGGGAAUAUUGCACAAUGGGCGCAAGCCUGAUGCAGCCAUGCCGCGUGUAUGAAGAAGGCCCUAGGGUUGUAAAGCACUUUUGGCAGAGAAGCGGUAUCUGCAGAAUAAGCACCGGCUAACUACGUGCCAGCAGCCGCGGUAAUAC